UUGGAAAAACUCAUUGGAUAAUAGCUAACUCUUAAUUGGCUGAAACAGAAUGUCUAACAGUAAAUUUAUUCUUUUCUAACAGUAAGAGAAAAAACUAUGCAAUCACAUUGUAGGACGUGGCCAUCAUAGUACACAUUUGCUUACAGUCUAACCAUUUAUUUUUAAGCUGACAUCCGCUUGUACAUAAGAACAUUCAGCAGAUUCCAAAUGGUGACAAUUUGCUGCUGACUGGCCAGAGGGAAAAAAAUAAAUCUUUGACUAUGCAUAUUCUACUGGUCACUGAUUCCUGUGCCAGAUUUCUGCCUUGGCUAUUUUCCUCUAUCAAUCAGGGAGAGUGGCUAAGAAAGUCUUGGCUGAAACCAGAAUUUGCAAGCUGAAUAUAUCUUUUGUCCAGAUUACAACAAACUUUUAAGAGAAGCCAUAAAUGUGGAGGGCAGCUGAGGAAUAAGAAUGAUUCCAAUAUACCUAUUUAGGAGAAAUCAACACAGGCUAGUCACAGAAGCAACUUUGUCCAUGUACCCUUAACCUACAACUUUAAAGUUCAGCAGCUUCAUCCUCCAUGGUACCAAACCUUGAUGUUAGGGAUGCAAUGGCAUGUUCAUAAGAAUCGAGGGUGUGUCGUUACUCAAAAUUUGGGGGACUGGCUGAAAAUGAAACAAAACAAAACAAGGAGACCUUA